GAUGAACGCUGGCGGCGUGCUUAACACAUGCAAGUCGAGCGAAAGGACGCGAAGCUUUCCUCUCUGAUGUUAGAGGGGGGAGUGAGAGUAACACGCGGACAAACUAGCUAUGAAUCAGGGAUCACUUCGUGAAAUCGUAGCUCAUAUCGGAUAAUAUUUUAAACCGCAUGGUUCAAAAGUGAAAGUCGGUUUUGCCGUCUCUUAUAGACGGAUCCGCGCUGGAUUAGCUAGUUGGUAAGGUAAUGGCCUACCAAGGCAACGAUGCAUAGCCGACCUGAGAGGAUGAUCAGCCACACUGGAACUGAGGCACGGUCCAGACUCCUACGGGAGGCAGCAGUAGGGAAUCUUCCACAAUGGGCGAAAGCCUGAUCGAGCAACGCCGCGUGAGGGAUGAAGGCCUUCGGGUCGUAAAACUCUGUUAGUAGGAAAGAACAGAUGUGUAAGUAUCCCUGCAGAUCUUGACGGUACCUAAUGAGAAAGCAACGGCUAACUACGUG
rnacentral:rRNA from 1 species